AAAUCAGAGAGGCUCUUAGAGAAACCUUUUGCUUCAGAGGAAGCCCAACUUCCUUGCAUUCCUCCAACAUGGCUAACCUUCCUCUCCUCAUUGUCCUCCUUUUCGCUUUUUGCAAUGGGGUCUUUAGCCAGUUUGUGUUGACUCAGACACCUUCGCUGUCAGUACCCCCUGGAGAAACAGCCACAAUCCCCUGUACCAGGAGCACUGGGAAAAUUGCAGACUACUAUGUAUCCUGGUACCAGCAGAAGCCAGGCAGUGCCCCCAAACUAAUUAUAUAUCAGCACAGCACCAGACCCUCUGGAAUUCCAGAGAGGUUCUCUGGUUCUUAUGACACCUCGUCCAACUCUGCCACCUUAACUGUCUCCAACCUUCAAGCAGAAGAUGAGGCUGUUUAUUACUGUUUAUCGUAUGACAGCAGCAGCAAGCGCACAGUGAUACAACCACAUAGGGAAGUGUGA